GGGCUGCCAACCUAACGCGAGUCUCUCUUUCGAUUCUUGUACCAUCAGCCCCGCUGAGAUCGCUCUGACGUCACGCGUGAUACGAGAGAAGCCCCGAGAAGAGAGCGCGUUGCGGGAAUACACCACCUUGUCAAAUUUCAUCAUGGUCCCCGUAUAAAUACCAGGCGCUUAACAGAAUAGAGGUUUUGUUGCUUCUGCGCCGCCGCCGCCGCCUUUGCUUUCGAGAAGAAAUGUUUAAUCCCAAGUGUAGUUCCGGCGAAAAAUAUGUUAUAAACAAAUCGUAUAUAAAAAUCCAAGCCCUAAACUAAAUAAUAUUAAACGCGUGUUCGUUCUCAUCCGCUGGCCCGCGUCAGUCGCUUUGCCGCGAAUCUACGCUUGUGUGAGUGUGUUUCUGUGCCUGUAUGCGUUGUAUGAUGUGGCUGUGCCGUUUUUUUCAAAUUACAAGCCGAGGCGAGUGUACAGUAUACAGUACGAUCAUGAACAGAUACACGCACACACACUCGCAAGCACAGACUUUACCGAAAUACCGAAUGAGUGGGGACGGGACGGAUGCAGACGGCAUUUGUAGUUGGUCGACGCUCUGCUCUUUUCCCUCGAAUGCAGCGCCUAAUUCGAAAUGAUUUAAUUUCAAUAACGAUUUAAUAAAAAUGAAUUCGCGAAACGAAAUUGACGAGACGAAUAACGUGAAAGAUCACAUCGGACCGGACCAGGCUCCUCGUGCGUGUGUAUGCAUGUAUUGGUGUGUUUGUGUGUAAUUCGCCAUACUUCUUCCUCAAUUCAAAGAACAGACAGAAGAAGAUCACUAAAACAACGAGAACAACAGCCGCAAAAAAGCAGCAAGACAUACUUGAAAAAUAAAAGCAGCGCUGCCCCGAUCGUUACUCACUCACACAGCGGCGCUCACUCACUCCAGUAGUCUCUGCCUCUCUCUCUUGCUCCAUCGCUUUGCUCGCUCCAUAGCUGUGAUCGCGCGCGUGUGUGUAAGCUUGCCUGCCAUGUCUGUGUUGGUAUGUAUAUAAGCAGGCGAAAAAAAAAACAUAUAUACUACGUUCAAUUUUCCCUAUAUUUUUGCGCCUGCCAAUAAGCGGUUCUUUGUCGGAGUUGCCACACAGCCUCGAAAUUCGUCGAAUUUUAAAUUGGAAACGAUCAAGCGCACGGACAUUUCGUUGAAAUAGUUAAACCAUGUAUGUAUGUAUGUACAUAAAACGAGUGUAUGUAGGUUCUGUAUUCCACUGAUAAGACACGCAGAACCGCCGCCUGCUCCAGAGACUCCCGGCUUAUCAACGAAAAGAGGAAAAAACUGUGUAGCAAAAUGGGUCGAGCGACGACGACCGAGCAAGCACAUUGUGUAUUGUGUUUUGUUGUGUUUGCACUAUCGCUUAAUAAUUGAAAUUAAAGAAAAGAAAGAAAAAAAAAAAAACGAAACGAAACGAAACUAAAAGAAAAAAAUCAUUCAGUCCCAUUUGAAGUGGUUUUAAGUUCGCGAUCAUACUACUGUUUUUAGUGAGUGAGGGUCCAGUGUUUCACAUUGAUUUUCUUAGUAUUUGUGACUAGAUCCACACUCAUUAAUAACGGUAGUUCAAUCAACAGAAUGCACGUGUUGGCCCCCAUCGAUACGUAUCGAUUCGUGGAAGUGUUUCAUUCACAUUUCCGUCCUGCAAAUCCCGUCCCGUUCCUCCCAUGUAUAUUUCCAAAGAGCCACCACCUGUUUGGGCCUCUUUGGGAAAAAGGUAAUUAGUCAACUGCCCUCUCUUACACGCACGCAAUGCCAGCCAGACAGAACGAAACCACCUGUCCGAAUGAACACAAGAGAAAGGGAGAAACAGAACAGAUCCCCCCCACACACACACACACUCACACAGACACUCGCAUUUGUGGGCUAUUUGGAUAUCUAUCUUUAUUACUCAGCACUAAAUUACCAUUAAUGCUAAUGUGGAUCACUUUUUUUUUUGAAUAGAGCCAGGAACAGAAGCAACAAAAUUAGAAAAGCAGAAAGAAUGAAAUUAAAAGAUCGUAUAGUACGAAAUUAGAGUGGGGGGCGAAAUGAGAAGAAUGGAAUGGAGUGAACGAAGAUCACAAAAAAUGGAGAAAGAAUAACAUAGCAGGCCCGAAAUUAACUCACAAAUUAAUUGUGGAAUCGCUUGAGAAAAUGUGGAAAAUGUUGUUCGAGUGAUUGUUCCGUCUGUAGUUUCUGUAACUAUAACUAUAACGAAAAGGUUAAGAGUUCAACCACUCAGUCCGCCGCCCGUACAUGUGUGUGUGUGUGUGUGUGUAUUCAUGUUUGUAGUUCCGCCUCCAUUACUGCUGGGUGAUGUUUCCUCCUCUUCGUUCCUGCUCCGCCCCUCUCUCGGUUGGGUUUCUGCCGGAACAAAUUGCUGGAAAUUCUGGGAAGACUUGCCAUAGUUCAGAUUAAUAGGUGGUGGUGCUACGUCUUGCCAUGGGGACAAACAAAUAAUUUCCGUUGAAUCAUUCGGUUGCCAUAUCGGAUUUUGCCCUACUCUUAUUUUAUUUUCAAGAACUUUUGCCCAGAUCAGCAGAAAUUCAAACUGCAACAACGCCGCAAUUCUUAAACAAUCGAAAGACGGACGGGGCGAGAACGACGGCCACGACGUCGACGAAUACGACGUUGUCGGCUUUUGAAAGACGAAGGGAAGGCGGCGGCUGGCGGCUGGCGGUUGAGGCGGGAUAUAGUAUUGUAUAAAUCAGCAGAAAACCCAACAAUAACAAGAGUGAACGGGCACAAAAAAUAAUAAACCUUAAUUCGAAGCUUGGAGCUUGAUUCAUUCAUAUUACACCCCACCCCACCCAUUCCCCACUGGCCAGGGGGGGUGGAGAGGGUAGAAGUGGACGGGCGUAGUCGCAGUCGCAGUCUCGGACCCAAUUGAGCUAUGAAAACCGAUCAAACGUCGUCGGGCCCACAAUCGAAAAUUGUUGCCGGGCACGAGAGCAAUGACAUGCCAUGCCAUGCCAUACCAAAAACAACAAAAAAGAACCCGAUCUGAAAACCAAAACUAAACCCAAUCACCACCAAUCGCGCGUCUCUCGAAGAGUGGCGAAAAAUGCCACAGAAAGUCGUGCACUGGCAAUAAUCAUCAUUUGGAGGAGGAAGAAAGGAUGGACCCCGUAACAGUGCCAGAGCCUGGGUCUGAUCCGGCAGCGUUUGCUCUUCUCUGACUCUAUUUUGUCGGCGAACAUGGAUCUAGUGCACGGUUGUUCAUGAUUAAGUUCGUGACUAGAUUUCAUGCUCGUCUAUUAAGUUGGGUCAACACAACGAACCGAAAGAGCAGAGCAACGCAGUUGUCGAAAAUUGCACUCCAGCCAGCAGUGCAGCCAGCACUCUCACUCCCACUCCCAAUCGCUCCCCCCAGGAGAAACGCUGGGUUGGGUCUUGGGCAAUUAGCAGACGCAUUAAUUAUGGGAAACGUAUUCUCAUAUAUGACGGGAUUGGAUUCCGUAUUGCAUGAUUGACCCGUGACCCACAUAAUGGCACACGCCCCGCAGCAGCAGCAGCAGCAGCAGCAGCGGUAGCGGUAGCAUGCAGCUUUCAAUGAGGGCGUGUAGUAAGUUGGACAAAACCAAAGAAGAAAUAAAAAGAGUCAAUGGCCUUUAACCGAUGACUGUUGUAACUCGCUGGCUCGGCGGCUCGGCUCACACGCCCCUCGAGCGCCCAGCAGCCCGCAUCUCGUGUCUUGCGGACAGUAGCUUGACGCUGGGAUCGGAUCGGUGAUUUGUGUGUGUUGAGUGCCUUUUUAUCGGGACGGGACUGUAACAGAGCAGAGUGGAGUGUCAGGCUGCAGCUAGUGACAGCCAGCAGCAGCACCGCCAGCGUCAGCGGGCCACCAAUUUAUGGGCUAGUCGCACGCGAUUAAAAAUCGAAUGCGCACGGCCUGGGCCUGGGUUGACAAAAACAAAUGGAAACUGCAAUGCAAUGGAUUGCCUGUCGAGGAGUUGCUCGCUGCAGCUAAGCUAGCCCAGCGUGUGAAAAUCCAACAGGGCUGGCUGUGUUUGCCAAGGCUUUGGCGCCUGCGGCUGAAGGAACGAGCGAAUGGAGCCGGAACACCUUUUUAACCCUGUUUCAUUGUUAUUUCUGCUGCUUCACGCUCAUUUAAAUGCCAACGCACCGGAGAGGGCGAAGAGAGUCGAGUCUACUUUACAUAUUUUCUAAAUGAAUGCCGUUUGUUUUGUUUUUUCCUGUAUUGUUAUUUGUAGGUACAGACAUAUCCAUCGAGUUGCAACCCCAGCUAAGAAGAGCAUUGAAUUGCAACGGCUGUGGCAGGGGAGGCUGAUGGCGUGGCCUGGCCUGGCCUGGCCUGGCCUGGCUUUCCCUGUACUGCACUGAAUUUCCACUUCCUCCCUCCCAGCCAGCCAGCCAGGCAGCCGGUCGGCAAUCAGGAACGACAAGAAGUCGCCAUGACACUGGCAGCCUCGUCAAACGCUGAAACUAAUUGAUAUAAUAGUUAAAAUAACAAACUAACAAGAAGACGUGGUGGCGGGAGAAGAGGCGAAAGAGGUUGCACCGCGACUACAGUGCGGCGGCGUUGGUGAAGUGCAAAACCUUUCCAAUUUGAAAAUAGUUUUCCUGCUAUGUGUGCUCGUUCCCACAAACAGAAAUACCAACAACAGCGGCAGCGGCAGCAGCAGCAGCAGCAGUCAGAACAAGCACAGCAACAAUGCCUGCACUUUACAACGACGCCAUUGGGGCAGAGGAGGAGAACAACUACAAGAAGCAGACGGGGACGGAGAAGAAGAAGGAGUAGCGGCAAGCGGUGGAUCGGAUCGGGAAAAGUAGAAGCACCAGCAAUCGGUGGAGCUGGAGUAGCAGAACCACCAGCAAACGAUGAUUGGGAAAAGGAAGGAGCCCCAGCAGCAGGGGGGACGGGGGGAUACAUACCCGUAGUCAGCAAAGAUGACAAUGCAGCGAUUAAAGCAAUGCAGAACGGAGAAGAGAUGCGCGAACAACUUGAACUCUAGUCGAUGUCGAUGUCGAUGCCGAGAGCAACAGCAACAGCAGAAGCAGCUGGAAAAAUGUUUGCCCCAAUCCCAAUGCGCGGCAUUUCCGUUUACCAGCGGAGGAUGCGGCUGGGCUGCCGACGCUGAUGCACUUUGCAAUCGGCACUCCACUGUUCUGACCAACGGCCCGGACGGACGGGAAAGAAAAGAUAAUCACAUUUAUUAAAUCAAAAUACAAGAUGUUUGUAUGCACUUCCUAAAAG